UUGCCCUAGUAACGGCGAGUGAAGCGGCAACAGCUCAAAUUUGAAAUCUGGCGUCUUUGGCGUCCGAGUUGUAAUUUGCAGAGGGCGCUUUGGCGUUGGCAGCGGUCCAAGUUCCUUGGAACAGGACGUCACAGAGGGUGAGAAUCCCGUACGUGGUCGCUGGCCUUCGCCGUGUAAAGCCCCUUCGACGAGUCGAGUUGUUUGGGAAUGCAGCUCUAAAUGGGAGGUAAAUUUCUUCUAAAGCUAAAUACUGGCCAGAGACCGAUAGCGCACAAGUAGAGUGAUCGAAAGAUGAAAAGCACUUUGGAAAGAGAGUCAAACAGCACGUGAAAUUGUUAAAAGGGAAGCGCUUGCAGCCAGACUUGCCUGUAGUUGCUCAUCCGGACUUUUGUCCGGUGCACUCUUCUAUAGGCAGGCCAGCAUCAGUUUGGGCGGUUGGAUAAAGGUCUCUGUCAUGUACCUCUCUUCGGGGAGAACUUAUAGGGGAGACGACAUGCAACCAGCCUGGACUGAGGUCCGCGCAUUUGCUAGGAUGCUGGCGUAAUGGCUGUAAGCGGCCCGUCUUGAAACACGGACCAAGGAGUCUAACAUCUAUGCGAGUGUUUGGGUGUCAAGCCCGAACGCGUAAUGAAAGUGAACGGAGGUGGGAACCUUUCGGGGUGCACCAUCGACCGAUCCUGAUGUCUUCGGAUGGAUUUGAGUAAGAGCAUAGCUGUUGGGACCCGAAAGAUGGUGAACUAUGCUUGAAUAGGGUGAAGCCAGAGGAAACUCUGGUGGAGGCUCGCAGCGGUUCUGACGUGCAAAUCGAUCGUCAAAUUUGGGCAUAGGGGCGAAAGACUAAUCGAACUAUCUAGUAGGUGCGUUCCUGCUGAAGU
rnacentral:rRNA from 1 species